rnacentral:rRNA from 1 species
CAGGCUUAACACAUGCAAGUCGAGGGGCAGCAUUUUAGUUUGCUUGCAAACUGAAGAUGGCGACCGGCGCACGGGUGAGUAACACGUAUCCAACCUACCGAUAACUCCGGAAUAGCCUUUCGAAAGAAAGAUUAAUACCGGAUAGCAUACGAAUAUCGCAUGAUAUUUUUAUUAAAGAAUUUCGGUUAUCGAUGGGGAUGCGUUCCAUUAGUUUGUUGGCGGGGUAACGGCCCACCAAGACUACGAUGGAUAGGGGUUCUGAGAGGAAGGUCCCCCACAUUGGAACUGAGACACGGUCCAAACUCCUACGGGAGGCAGCAGUGAGGAAUAUUGGUCAAUGGGCGAGAGCCUGAACUAGCCAAGUAGCAUGAAGGAUGAAGGCUCUAUGGGUCGUAAACUUCUUUUAUAUGGGAAUAAAGUUUUCCACGUGUGGAAUUUUGUAUGUACCAUAUGAAUAAGGAUCGGCUAACUCCGUGCCAGCAGCCGCGGUAAUACGGAGGAUCCGAGCGUUAUCCGGAUUUAUUGGGUUUAAAGGGAGCGUAGGUGGAUUGUUAAGUCAGUUGUGAAAGUUUGCGGCUCAACCGUAAAAUUGCAGUUGAAACUGGCAGUCUUGAGUACAGUAGAGGUGGGCGGAAUUCGUGGUGUAGCGGUGAAAUGCUUAGAUAUCACGAAGAACUCCGAUUGCGAAGGCAGCUCACUAGACUGUCACUGACACUGAUGCUCGAAAGUGUGGGUAUCAAACAGGAUUAGAUACCCUGGUAGUCCACACAGUAAACGAUGAAUACUCGCUGUUUGCGAUAUACAGUAAGCGGCCAAGCGAAAGCAUUAAGUAUUCCACCUGGGGAGUACGCCGGCAACGGUGAAACUCAAAGGAAUUGGCGGGGGCCCGCACAAGCGGAGGAACAUGUGGUUUAAUUCGAUGAUACGCGAGGAACCUUACCCGGGCUUAAAUUGCAACAGAAUAUAUUGGAAACAGUAUAGCCGUAAGGCUGUUGUGAAGGUGCUGCAUGGUUGUCGUCAGCUCGUGCCGUGAGGUGUCGGCUUAAGUGCCAUAACGAGCGCAACCCUUAUCUUUAGUUACUAACAGGUUAUGCUGAGGACUCUAGAGAGACUGCCGUCGUAAGAUGUGAGGAAGGUGGGGAUGACGUCAAAUCAGCACGGCCCUUACGUCCGGGGCUACACACGUGUUACAAUGGGGGGUACAGAAGGCGGCUACCUGGUGACAGGAUGCUAAUCCCAAAAACCUCUCUCAGUUCGGAUCGAAGUCUGCAACCCGACUUCGUGAAGCUGGAUUCGCUAGUAAUCGCGCAUCAGCCAUGGCGCGGUGAAUACGUUCCCGGGCCUUGUACACACCGCCCGUCAAGCCAUGAAAGCCGGGGGUACCUGAAGUACGUAACCGCAAGGAGCGUCCUAGGGUAAAACUGGUAAUUGGGGCUAAGUC